rnacentral:rRNA from 1 species
UACGAAGGGGGCUAGCGUUGCUCGGAAUUACUGGGCGUAAAGGGCGCGUAGGCGGAUGUUUAAGUCGGGGGUGAAACCCCGGGUCUCAACCCCGGAAUUGCCUUCGAUACUGGACAUCUUGAGUACGGGAGAGGUGAGUGGAACUCCGAGUGUAGAGGUGAAAUUCGUAGAUAUUCGGAAGAACACCAGUGGCGAAGGCGACUCACUGGCCCGUUACUGACGCUGAGGUGCGAAAGCGUGAGGAGCAAACAGG